CCUGGGUCUGUUUGCUGGAGAGAAAAAAGAAAGAAAGAAACAAAAAAGAAAACAUUAACUUCAUAAACGGGCAGAUCUCAUAAAUACAACAGCCCCUUAAGAUCGUCCUCCAUACAUGUACUCACGCUCUGCCGGUGAUCAUAGUCUCAGUCAGCCCUUGGAUCUUCUGGACAUCGAUACCACGGCAACUGCCACGUCACCCUCGCCAUCCGGCAAACCUCGCCUCCACAGCCAGCCGCCUUCCCAAACUAAACGCCAGGCUUCACGGGUUCACUGCCUGGCCAGCCCAGCCCUUCUCCCUAUGCUUGCCAGUCCAGAACCAGCUCCCCUUGUCUUCGUCCGGAGCUCCACCAGUCUCAUCCCCGACCCGGUCCGGUCGAGUCCUCGGGGCGGCCACGGACCAUGCCGAAAACUUCGUACACCAAUAACUAUCUGCACAAUAAAGAUCGUUCCAACUAUA